UUGUUUGUAUGGGGUAGUCUAUGGUGUAACAAAAUCCAGAUGUGUUACUGUACACCGCACCCCAGCACGUGCAAUUCUCUUCACAUGCACGUGCACAUUUCUCUAAAGAAUUCAUGAUCGUGUAAGCCAUUAUCUCUUUGUUUGGUAACUCAACUCCGAUCUUCUUCAACACCGUGUACUUUUUCCGGCAUAAGUCAUCGUCGGUGACAUGUAUUUCUUCAGUGUCACAACGACCGGAGGUGUAAGACCUCCGGUCGUCCAAACACGAACACCCUUUGCCGCGUUGGCACAUACCGUAUGGCCCACAUGAGCUAGGUAGAUCACACUGAUCGGGUACUUGCUUGAAAUCAACCAGCCAGGAUGAUCUGGUCCAGUAGUACCCGAUCAGGUUACCGUCGGGUUCUAGACGAACCCGACGGUUACCUGUCCCCGGUUGCUGGAAGCUAGUAAACGGCUGCACAUCAACCGGGGCUGUACUGUUUUGGUACAUACCCAGAAACCCAUCCGGACUGACCACAACCCGGAUGGGUCCCCCGCCUUCUAUGACCCGGGCCUUAGCUUCCAUUGGAUUAUGCUGGAAGUAAAGAUGGCCCGGGUCAGAACUGGCAACAAACUUAGCGUAGAACCCGAUGAAAUCGGGUCCUAGCUUCAUGGUAUACAUCCCGUUUGAUGAAACUAGUGUCAUGUCACUAGUGAAAUUUUGACCCUCCAUGAGGGUAUUAUAGGGAAAGUCAAAACUUUGCCAUAUGAUUGAAAAAUUGUCUCCUCCUUUCUCUAUUAUUAAAUUAGAGGUGUUGGAGAGGCGAACGCGGUCGCCGUUAGCGUGACUUGACCAUAAUGCCCCUGUUCGUGAGUCAGUAAUUACUAGACUGCCAUUGAAUGACAACCUAGUCUGGGAUGACCACCGACUCAAAAGACCUUUUCCCGCGGCCCAUACUUGCUCUUUCGACGGGUUGUGAAUAACGACAAGAGCGAGUUGACUUUUAUCAACUCGGAGGAAACCCAGUGAGUAGUUACCGACCGAGUCACUGAGUAGAGGCUGGAAUGAGGUUACCGAUGAAUCCGGGGUGGCGGUAAAACCUUUCCGAAGCUCUUGGGGGGUGGCGGUGGUAGCGGAUAUCGGGUGAGUUAACACGGUGAGGAUGAGGAGGAACGAGUAUAUCCGAGUCAACUCAGAAAGGAUAUCAUACAUUUGAAAAGUGGGAGAGAUUAUAUGAGUGUGAUCCAUAUAUGAUAGUGGAGAAAUUGGUAUUGAUAUGCAUGGAUAUAAUAUAAUAGUGUGCAACUGGAAAACCAAAAUUUAAUAUGUGUAGUCUAAAAAAGAGGUAUGACUUUUGGCCCAUUGGAGCUAUAAAUGCCAAAUAA
rnacentral:lncRNA from 1 species